GGGUUGUGAGGUUAAGCGACUAAGCGUACACGGUGGAUGCCCUGGCAGUCAGAGGCGAUGAAGGACGUGCUAAUCUGCGAAAAGCGUCGGUAAGGUGAUAUGAACCGUUAUAACCGGCGAUGUCCGAAUGGGGAAACCCAGUGCAAUUCGUUGCACUAUCGUUAACUGAAUACAUAGGUUAACGAGGCGAACCGGGGGAACUGAAACAUCUAAGUACCCCGAGGAAAAGAAAUCAACCGAGAUUCCCCCAGUAGCGGCGAGCGAACGGGGAGCAGCCCAGAGUCUGAAUCAGCUUGUGUGUUAGUGGAACGGUCUGGAAAGUCCGACGGUACAGGGUGAUAGUCCCGUACACCAAAAUGCACAGGCUGUGAACUCGAAGAGUAGGGCGGGACACGUGGUAUCCUGUCUGAAUAUGGGGGGACCAUCCUCCAAGGCUAAAUACUCCUGACUGACCGAUAGUGAACCAGUACCGUGAGGGAAAGGCGAAAAGAACCCCGGCGAGGGGAGUGAAAAAGAACCUGAAACCGUGUACGUACAAGCAGUGGGAGCACCUUCGGGUGUGACUGCGUACCUUUUGUAUAAUGGGUCAGCGACUUAUAUUCUGUAGCAAGGUUAACCGUAUAGGGGAGCCGCAGGGAAACCGAGUCUUAACUGGGCGUUAAGUUGCAGGGUAUAGACCCGAAACCCGGUGAUCUAGCCAUGGGCAGGUUGAAGGUUGGGUAACACUAACUGGAGGACCGAACCGACUAAUGUUGAAAAAUUAGCGGAUGACUUGUGGCUGGGGGUGAAAGGCCAAUCAAACCGGGAGAUAGCUGGUUCUCCCCGAAAGCUAUUUAGGUAGCGCCUCGUGAACUCAUCUUCGGGGGUAGAGCACUGUUUCGGCUAGGGGGUCAUCCCGACUUACCAACCCGAUGCAAACUACGAAUACCGAAGAAUGUUAUCACGGGAGACACACGGCGGGUGCUAACGUCCGUCGUGAAGAGGGAAACAACCCAGACCGCCAGCUAAGGUCCCAAAGUCAUGGUUAAGUGGGAAACGAUGUGGGAAGGCACAGACAGCCAGGAUGUUGGCUUAGAAGCAGCCAUCAUUUAAAGAAAGCGUAAUAGCUCACUGGUCGAGUCGGCCUGCGCGGAAGAUGUAACGGGGCUAAACCAUGCACCGAAGCUGCGGCAGCGACACUAUGUGUUGUUGGGUAGGGGAGCGUUCUGUAAGCCUGCGAAGGUGUGCUGUGAGGCAUGCUGGAGGUAUCAGAAGUGCGAAUGCUGACAUAAGUAACGAUAAAGCGGGUGAAAAGCCCGCUCGCCGGAAGACCAAGGGUUCCUGUCCAACGUUAAUCGGGGCAGGGUGAGUCGACCCCUAAGGCGAGGCCGAAAGGCGUAGUCGAUGGGAAACAGGUUAAUAUUCCUGUACUUGGUGUUACUGCGAAGGGGGGACGGAGAAGGCUAUGUUAGCCGGGCGACGGUUGUCCCGGUUUAAGCAUGUAGGCUG
rnacentral:rRNA from 2 species